UAAACUGUGUUUUCCCCUGGCAGUGAAAGCCUCCCCUUCCAAGAAGAGCCGGAGCGGUCCCGCGAUUCCCAGACGGAGCUGCCAGGGGGGGAUCCCGGCCCAGCUCCACGGGGGCUCCGACACCAAAGCACAAGUGACCACGGAGGCAGACGUGGAGCAAGGGUCCCACCUGGGCCGCCCGGAUCUCCUGCCCCGCACUCUGCCCGUGGACGAAGCCAACAGCGACUCGGUGGCCACCACCCUGUCCACGUCCUCCCUGGGCAGUGGGGGCCUCAAUUCCCCUGCCAACAGGUGUCCCCCCCCUUCUGUUUCCCCAGCGGCUCCUCCCCCGGCCCCUCCGGCCCCGAGCGCUCCCGGGAGCUGAGGGAGCAGCUCCAGGACCUGCAGGAGACAGAGAUCAGCUUUGUGAGUAUUCCCAGAGGGAAAACUCGGCCCGGGGAUGGAGCAGGAGGGAGGAUUUGGGGGUUGGUUUGAUCCCUGUCCCGUUGGGAACAUGGAAUGGGAGAGGGGCAGGAGCAGCUCUUCGCCCCUCACCAAAUCCACCUCCUGGGGCUGAUCCACCUCUUGGGGGUGGAUCUGAUGCCCCAAAAGUGGAUUUGGGAAUCGGAUAAAAGGGGAGGGAAUCAGAGGAAACCUGGGAUUGGAUAAAAAGCAGGGAAUUCCCUCGUUCCUGAAGGCCUGGAGUUGUGCUGGUGGUGGGACAGGAACAGGGGGAUCUCCAGAUUCCAGAGGUGUCUCCAGUGGGAUCCCAAGCCCUGGAAGUUGUGGGACAGGAACAGGGGGUUCUCCACAUUCCAGAGGUGUCUCCAGUGGGAUCCCAAGCCCUGGAAGUUGUGCUGGUGGUGGGACAGGAAC